GAUUAGAGUUUGAUCAUGGCUCAGGAUGAACGCUGGCGGCGUGCUUAACACAUGCAAGUCGAACGAAGCAUUUAGACAGAUUACUUCGGUUUGAAGUUCUUAAUGACUGAGGGUGGCGGACGGGUGAAUAACGCGUGGGUAACCUGCCUUAUACAGGGGGAUAGCAGCUGGAAACGGCUGGUAAUACCGCAUAAGCGCACAGCAUCGCAUGAUGGAGUGUGAAAAACUGAGGUGGUAUAAGAUGGACCCGCGUCUGAUUAGCUAGUUGGUGAGAUAACAGCCCACCAAGGCGACGAUCAGUAGCCGACCUGAGAGGGUGACCGGCCACAUUGGGACUGAGACACGGCCCAGACUCCUACGGGAGGCAGCAGUGGGGAAUAUUGCACAAUGGAGGAAACUCUGAUGCAGCGACGCCGCGGAGUGAAGAAGUAGUUCGCUAUGUAAAGCUCUAUCACAGGGAAGAUAGUGACGGACCUNACUAASAAGCUCCGNCNAAAUACNNNCC
rnacentral:rRNA from 1 species